AUGUUAGUCUGCAUUACGCAAGAUGAUUGUUACUCCCUCCGUCCCAAAAUAUACAAUAUUUUUCCUCCGAGCGUAACGAAAUUUUUGACGUUUCCACUUUUGCCCUGGCGACCGAUUCCACUCCUCUCAUCUCGGGACUCCCACUCCUCUCGCGUUCCUCUCUCCGACAGCCCCAAAUCCCUAGCUCACCCACUCCUCCCUAGUGUCGUUGCUGCCGCCUCCCACUCGCCGGCAUCGUUGAGCCUCCCUCUAGCCGGUGUCUCCUCUCCCAUUCCCCUCGCUCACCUACUCCCCUCCAAAGAUGGCGUCGUCCCCUCUGCCUGUCUGGUGUCCUCGCCUAUCUUCCAAAGAUUGCUUUUUUUUUACUCCAACGCAUCUGAAGCGGUGAUGGGUACUUGUGCGGAGGCGGCGGAGGCGGCGGAGGCGGCGGCGGCGCUGUAUCUAAAGAGGGCACCAUAG
rnacentral:rRNA from 1 species